rnacentral:rRNA from 1 species
CCAAUAGCGUAUAUUAAAGUUGUUGCAGUUAAAAAGCUCGUAGUUGAAUUUCGGGGUUAGUAGGUUGGUCAUGCCUCUGGUAUGUACUGAUCUCACUGAUUCCUCCCUCUUGACGAACUGUAAUGUCAUUAAUUUGGUGUUGCAGGAAAUCAGGACUGUUACUUUGAAAAAAUUAGAGUGUUUAAAGCAGGCUAAGGCUUGAAUACAUUAGCAUGGAAUAAUGAAAUAGGACGUUUGAUCCUAUUUUGUUGGCUUCUAGGAUUGACGUAAUGAUUAAUAGGGAUAGUUGGGGGCAUUAGUAUUCAAUUGUCAGAGGUGAAAUUCUUGGAUUUAUUGAAGACUAACUACUGCGAAAGCAUUUGCCAAGGAUGUUUUCAUUAAUCAAGAACGAAAGUUAGGGGAUCGAAGACGAUCAGAUACCGUCGUAGUCUUAACCAUAAACUAUGCCGACUAGGGAUCGGAUGAUGUUAAUUUUUUAAUGACUCAUUCGGCGCCUUACG